CAGAACGUAGCUAAACUAGCUAUAGCAUCUCCCUUACACCGAGAAGGUGCCCGUGCAAAUCGGGCCGAACUGA
rnacentral:tRNA from 1 species